rnacentral:sRNA from 1 species
CGACACCUUGGCAGUGUUUAUGGCCAGCAGCGGAACUACAGACGUCACAAAUCGCAACAGCCCAGCCACACCACCAAACACCCUUAACCUCCGAUCCUCCCACAAUGAACUGUUGAACGCUGAAAUAAAACACACAGAAACCAAGAACAGCACACCUCCCAAAUGCAGGAAGAAAUAUGCACUAACUAACAUCCAGGCGGCCAUGGGCCUCUCGGAUCCAGCUGCACAGCCCCUGCUGGGAAAUGGCUCUGCCAACAUCAAGCUGGUGAAAAAUGGGGAGAACCAGCUCCGUAAGGCUGCAGAGCAAGGGCAGCAGGACCCCAACAAAAACCUGAGCCCCACUGCAGUCAUUAACAUAACUUCUGAGAAGUUAGAGGGUAAAGAGCCCCACCCACAGGAUUCCUCGAGCUGUGAGAUUUUACCCUCCCAGCCCAGGAGAACUAAGAGCUUCCUAAAUUACUAUGCAGAUCUGGAAACCUCAGCCAGAGAACUAGAGCAGAACCGAGGCAACCGUCAUGGGACUGCGGAAGAGAAAUCCCAGCCAGUCCAGGGCCAGGCCUCCACCAUCACUGGGAAUGGCGAUUUGCUGCUGCAGAAACCAAACAAACCCCAGUCCAGCCCUGAAGACGGCCAAGUAGCCACAGUGUCAUCCAGCCCAGAGACCAAGAAGGAUCAUCCGAAAACAGGGGCCAAAACCGACUGUGCACUGCACCGGAUCCAGAACCUGGCACCAAGUGAUGAGGAGUCCAGCUGGACAACGUUGUCCCAAGACAGUGCCUCCCCCAGCUCACCGGAUGAAACAGAUAUAUGGAGUGAUCAUUCAUUUCAGACUGAUCCAGAUUUGCCGCCUGGCUGGAAAAGAGUCAGUGACAUUGCUGGGACCUAUUAUUGGCACAUCCCAACAGGAACGACUCAGUGGGAACGACCCAUCUCCAUCCCAGCAGAUCUCCAGGGUUCUAGGAAAGGGUCACUUAGUUCUGUAACGCCAUCUCCCACCCCAGAGAACGAGGAUUUGCAUGCAGCCACUGUUAACCCGGAUCCCAGUUUAAAAGAGUUUGAAGGAGCAACCCUACGCUAUGCAUCUUUGAAACUCAGAAAUGCCCCACACCCUGAUGAUGAUGAUUCUUGUAGUAUCAACAGUGACCCAGAAGCCAAGUGUUUUGCUGUGCGUUCUCUUGGAUGGGUAGAGAUGGCAGAAGAGGACCUUGCCCCCGGUAAAAGUAGUGUUGCGGUCAACAACUGCAUCAGGCAACUUUCCUACUGCAAAAAUGACAUCCGAGACACGGUCGGGAUUUGGGGAGAGGGGAAAGACAUGUACCUGAUCCUGGAGAAUGACAUGCUCAGCCUGGUGGACCCCAUGGACCGCAGCGUGCUGCACUCGCAGCCCAUCGUCAGCAUCCGCGUGUGGGGCGUGGGCCGCGACAAUGGACGGUGAGUCCCUGGGUGGGGCAGUCCGGGUCACCUCGCCCGUGUCCCUGGUCUAGCU